rfam:Euroglyphus maynei isolate Arlian Lab scaffold25, whole genome shotgun sequence.
AACCCCCGGAUUACGAGAGAACUUUGGUCGGUACCUUCGUAUAUCCAGGGGUCAAAAGCAGGCGCUGGCCUGCAAUGAGUAUAGCCAUGAAGCGUAUCCAAGAUCAACAUCCCCUGCCGACCUU